GCACAGGCCACCAAGGGCAAUUAGGGAGAAAAAAACACAAAAGCAAAAUUAAAACUGGUAGCCAGAUGGCGGGUUCCACGAACCUGCUUCUUCCUGCUGCAAUUUCUGAAACGGUCUCUUUUUCGCUGAAGAAGGCUGACAAGUCUAAUUUCCCUCUUCUUCUUCUUCUCUCUCAUUAAUAAAUUUCUUUUCAUUACAAAUCCCCACCACUUUUCAAAUCUCCAGGUAACAUCAAUAUAAUAAAAAACAAAGCCUUUAUUACAACAAGAAUACAAAAAGCUCUCUCCGGAAGCGUAUCUCAGUUUCAAUUUUCAAUUGUAUGGACGGUUGUGUUUCUCUUUCAUCCAAUUCGACGGUCAGAUUCAUCUCUUUUUCUUUUCUUUUUUUUUUUUUUUCCGUUAUUAUUUCUCUCUGUUUCGUAGGGUUUUGCUUUAUUUAGGUUUUGAUGAUGAAGUUGUUCUGUGGUGAAGAGAUAAAUUGAAAUUAGCCUUGGAUCUACUGUUAUUUACUGACUUGCCCCUCCUAAAUGCUUUCUCCUGGUCGUCCUUUCUACGAAGAACAGGCAUCAUGAGUGGUGUUCUUCUUCGGCUUAUCAUCAUCAUCACUUCCCCAUCACGCGACUUCUUUAUGCAAAUUCCUCCUUCUUCUUCUGCUUCUUGGAUAUGGGGUGUGCAGGAUCCAAAAUCGAUGACUUACCGCUUGUGACGCUCUGCCGAGAACGGAAGCAGCUUCUUAAAGAAGCGUCCGAACACCGCUACGCAUUCGCUGCUUCACACUUGUCGUAUUUCUGUUCGCUAAAGGAAGUUGGUGACGCGUUUCGAAAGUUCGUGGAGGAAGAGCUUGUGACUGGAGGUUCUGGAUCUUCCCCAGACUCUCCGGUUCUCACCUUGCCGUCCGACGAAGGCAAAUCCUCGUCCAAGCAAAGGAAAAUCCGGAACUCGUCUUCCUCCACCUCGAUUUCUCAUUCGGCUGAUGAUAGAUUGAAAGAGGAGGAAAUACAUGAAGAUUCGCAUUUGCAUUUGUCUUCCGGAUCGGAUUUAGAUACGGACUCGGAUUCAGGUCAUAUCCAUAUAAAGGAGAGCGACGAAGAAGGUGGACAUGAACAUGAACAUCACCAUGAACAAGAUGAGCCAUCUUCUUCUUCGUACAAUGGUUUCAAUUAUCCGUAUUAUUAUGCGCAGCAAAACUUUGCUUACCCUCCAAAUCAAGAAGACUUUUCUUACCCUCCAACCGAACAAAACUUUGCUUAUCCUCCAAAUCAACAAGACUUUUCAUACCCUCCAACCGAACAAAACUUUGCUUAUCCUCCAAAUCAACAGAACUGGGAAUACCCUCCAAAUCAACAAGAUUGGGCAUACCCUCCAAAUCGGAACUACAACAUGUAUUAUAUGAAAAAAUCUGCUACACCGGCGAAGUCUGUUGUAUACGAGGAGCCCGAGCGACAUUAUACUGGGUCCAGCUAUGGAUAUGGCUACGGUGGGCCGGGUUAUCCGCCUAUGUAUCAGAAUGGUGGGUUUUUCGGGUUCUCAAUGGGUUCACCUCCAGCAAAUGAUCAGCAGACGAGUCCACCAGCUAAGCCGCAGCCACCUCCCUCGCCGCCCAGGGUGUCCACGUGGGAUUAUCUGAAUGUGUUCGACGCUUAUGAUAAUAGUAACAAUUAUGGUAUGUACCCGGGUUCAUUUGGAUACGGGUACGGGUCCAAUGCGAGUAGUCCAGAUUCGACUGUGGUGAGGGAGAGAGAAGGUAUACCACCUUUGGAAGAUGAGACACAGCCAGAAGUUUAUAAAAAUGAAAAAAAGAAAAAUAUAAUAAACGAGGAAAUGAAUGUAAACGUGAAAAGUGGUAGUAAUAAUAAACACAAGAAUGUGAACUUUGGAGAGGGAACUUCUAGGUCAGUCCCUGUGCAAAACAUUAGUAAUGAGUCACCGAUUAUUGAGAAAGCAGAGCCUAAAGAGGUUAAGAACAAUAGUGGUAGUAGUAUUGAAAGUAUUGUUUCAAAGGGUUCUGAAGAGGGACAUAUGAGAAAAAAGGGGGUGACUUUUGAGGUUGAGGACUCACCAAUUUCUACUGUUGAUAUUGAAUCUUCAAAGCUCAGUAGUUUAACUCCAUUGUCAGUUCAUGGAACAAGGGAACUUCAGGAGGUGGUAAAGGAAAUCAGGGAUGAGUUUGAGAUUGCUUCAAGUCAUGGAAAAGAGGUUGCAAUGUUGCUUGAGGUCGGAAAGUUGCCUUAUCAGCGUAGAACCAGUCCACUACUGAAAGUUAUCUUCUCCAGGAUCAUGUACCUGGUUGCACCAUUCAUGUUAUCUUCACAUCCUCCACCCAGGGGGUCUGCACGGUUAUCUUCUAGGACAAUGAAGAUGGCAAAAGCAUACUGUGGGGAUCCCAGGAAAGACUUUGACAUAAAAUCUGCUAACCUUUCUUCAACUUUGGAGAAACUUUAUGCCUGGGAGAAGAAAUUAUACAAGGAAGUUAAGGAUGAAGAAAAGUUAAGAGUUACAUAUGAAAAGCAGUGCAGGAGACUAAGAAUGUUAGAUGACCGAGGAGCAGAGUCCAGCAAGAUUGAUGCUACACAGGAUUCUAUAAGAAAGUUGCUUACUAAAAUUAAUGUUUGUAUCAGGGCAGUUGAUUCAAUAUCAAGCAGGAUACAUAAGUUGAGGGAUGAAGAAUUGCGGCCACAACUCACUGAACUAAUUCAUGGAUUAAUAAGAAUGUGGAGGUCCAUGCUAAAAUGCCACCAGAAACAGUUCCAAGCUAUCAUGGAAAGCAAAGUUCACUCUCUUAAAGCAAACACAGGCUUCCGAAGAGAUUCUGGUCUAAAAGCUACACUUGAUCUUGAGAUGGAGCUUAUGAAUUGGUGUUCCCAGUUUAAUAAUUGGGUUAGGUCCCAAAAGUCCUAUGUUGAGUCCUUAAAUGGGUGGCUUUUAAGGUGCCUUCUUUAUGAACCUGAAGAAACCCCUGAUGGACAAGCUCCUUUCUCUCCUAGUCGGAUUGGAGCUCCUCCUAUUUUUGUAAUUUGCAAUGAUUGGUACCAAGCGAUGGAUAGAAUUUCUGAGGAGGAGGUGGCAGGUGCUAUGAGUGGAUUUGCUUCAACUUUACAUCAGCUAUGGGAAAGGCAAGAUGAGGAGCAACGACAAAGGAUCAAAGCAGAAUAUACCUCAAAGGAUUUUGAGAAACAGCUUAGGACCUUACGCAUGGAGAAGGGAAAAUUAGAACAUGAUCAAGAUGCACUGUCUGAUAAAACAGCAGUGUCCAAGGUCUCUGGAAGUGGAGUUUCACCUCUUGAUGAUCUGCAGGUGGAUUUGGAUUCAAUGAAGAAGAAACUGGAAGAAGAGAGAGCCAGGCAUAAGGAAGCCAUUAAACUAGUUCACAAUGCAGCUUCAAGUAGUUUACAGUCAGGUUUUGCCCCUAUUUUUGAGGCAUUACAUAAGUUCACUGCAGAGGCACUGAAAGUUCACGAGGAAGUCCGACUUGACCACCAUUCUGGAAACUCAUAGGGAAUGCUUAUAUUAAUAUUUUGGCUUCAAUCUGACCGAGUUGGCUUAUUUUGGGGAAAAAUUCUGCCAGAAUAUGUACAGUUGCAGUGAGAUCACUUGUGUAUAAUGUUAGAUUGGCUGCGGAAAAAAAAAUCUAUAGGAAGUGAAUAUUAGGCAUUACAAAGAGUUACUAAUAGAAGAUGUGAAAAAAGGGGGUUGUAGAAUCAUCUAGAGAAUGUAGAGUUGCAGAUCUGCUGGAAAGAAGCUCAGACGGUGCAUUCUUUGCGGAGGUCAAAAGUUGAAAUUGCAUGUUUCAAAAUUUUGGAAAUUUCUUUUGCCUCAACUGAAAGUAUGUGAAAGUGAAGCAAAAGCAUUUUGCAGGCACAUCAUGUUUGUAGUUCUGUAAGUUAUUUUCUUUGUUUUUCUCGUCAGAAGUUUUAUCUUGCUUUUGAAGGAGUAUUGAAUUUUGUCAGCAGUAAAGUUGCUAUGUAUUCACAUUCAAUAAAAUUAUGUCUACUCACUUUGAGUAUAUAAAUGAGCAUAUACUUGAUGUGUGUCAUCAUGUGAUUGGGUGAUUAUAAAUUAAAGAUAAAAUAAUAUCUAAUCACGUGAUAAUACACAUAAAUAUAUAUUUAUUUGUAUAUUGAAAGUAGAUACGCAUAAUAUUAAUGUUUUGUUCUUGGA